AAAGUGGCGAACGGCUGAGUAACACGUGGGCAACCUGCCCUUUGCACUGGGAUAGCCUCGGGAAACCGAGGUUAAUACCGGAUACUCCAUAUUUGUCGCAUGGCGAAUAUGGGAAAGCUCCGGCGGCAAAGGAUGGGCCCGCGGCCUGUUAGCUAGUUGGUGGGGUAGUGGCCUACCAAGGCAAUGAUGGGUAGCCGGGUUGAGAGACCGACCGGCCAGAUUGGGACUGAGACACGGCCCAGACUCCUACGGGAGGCAGCAGA
rnacentral:rRNA from 1 species